AACGAACGCUGGCGGCAGGCUUAACACAUGCAAGUCGAGCGAGACCUUCGGGUCUAGCGGCGGGCGGGUGAGUAACGCGUGGGAACGUGCCCUUCUCUACGGAAUAGCCCCGGGAAACUGGGAGUAAUACCGUAUACGCCCUUUGGGGGAAAGAUUUAUCGGAGAAGGAUCGGCCCGCGUUGGAUUAGGUAGUUGGUGGGGUAAUGGCCCACCAAGCCGACGAUCCAUAGCUGGUUUGAGAGGAUGAUCAGCCACACUGGGACUGAGACACGGCCCAGACUCCUACGGGAGGCAGCAGUGGGGAAUCUUAGACAAUGGGGGCAACCCUGAUCUAGCCAUGCCGCGUGAGUGAUGAAGGCCUUAGGGUUGUAAAGCUCUUUCAGCUGGGAAGAUAAUGACGGUACCAGCAGAAGAAGCCCCGGCUAACUCCGUG
rnacentral:rRNA from 1 species